UGGGGAAUCUUGCGCAAUGCGCGAAAGCGUGACGCAGCAACGCCGCGUGAGGGAAGACGGCCUUCGGGUUGUAAACCUCUUUCAGUUGGGACGAAGCCACGGCGGUUAAUACCCGUCUGUGGUGACGGUACCUUCAGAAGAAGCCCCGGCUAACUACGUGCCAGCAGCCGCGGUAAUACGUAGGGGGCAAGCGUUGUCCGGAAUCAUUGGGCGUAAAGCGCGUGUAGGCGGCUUGGUAAGUCCGCUCUGAAAGCCCGGGGCUCAACCCCGGGAGGCGGGUGGAUACUGUCAAGCUCGAGUCCGGAAGAGGCGAGUGGAAUUCCUGGUGUAGCGGUGAAAUGCGCAGAUAUCAGGAGGAACACCAAUGGCGAAGGCAGCUCGCUGGGACGUGACUGACGCUGAGACGCGAAAGCGUGGGGAGCAAACA
rnacentral:rRNA from 1 species